rnacentral:lncRNA from 1 species
CUUAGAAGUUUUUAAACGUUGACUAAAACAGGUUAAAAUUGUUAGAAAAAUUUCGCAAAGUAAAAUUAUUACUUGGCUGCUUCCCGUUAGAACAUGAAUCAAUAUCUCUACACGAUCACUUGAAAGCUUUGAAAAACUUAGAUACGGUGGAGUUCUGACCCCAAAUCCAAAUGGAUGGUGUCCUGCAAGAUUGUUUGAAAGGUCAGACAACUUG